UUUUCUUGGCAAAACCAUCUGGGUCUGGCACAUGUGAUGUCACUACCUCAACUUGUGAGAAGGUGUGCAAAGACAUCUUCUCACUAGUAGCUCAGCCAGCAAGUCACCUACUCUGGAGAUCUACUGGUCCAGGGUUCAAAUCCCCACAUGAUUGAGUCAGACUUGCUGACAAUCAGGUUGUUCAGAUCAUUGGAUGACAGGCAUGAAAAUUAAACCCAGAUUGUAAUAAAGUGUGGUUUAUUUCAACACCACGUGCAACAGCUGUGGCAAACACUACACUGGUGAAAUGGCAAGGACACUGGGCUUGACUGAAUGAACACCUAAAGCAGACACAACAUCCGCUGUCUGUGAACAUCAGACCAAAACCGGUCGCAUCAUCAAUUGGGAAUGGGUCAAAGCCAUCAACCAGGGGACAGUGAGCGAGAAGCAACAAGGCAACCACACUAAAGACCAUCAUUGAACAGACCCAGAG